CAGCAGCCGCGGGAAUACGAAGGGUGCAAGCGUUAAUCGGAAUUACUGGGCGUAAAGCGUGCGUAGGCGGUUUGUUAAGUCUGCUGUGAAAUCCCCGGGCUCAACCUGGGAACUGCAUUUGUGACUGUAUAGCUAGAGUACGGCAGAGGGGGAUGGAAUUCCGCGUGUAGCAGUGAAAUGCGUAGAUAUGCGGAGGAACACCGAUGGCGAAGGCAAUCCCCUGGGCCUGUACUGACGCUCAUGCACGAAAGCGUGGGGAGCAAACAGGAUUAGAUACCCCUGUAGUCCCUGUCUCUUAUAU
rnacentral:rRNA from 1 species